rnacentral:rRNA from 1 species
UACGUAGGGAGCAAGCGUUGUUCGGAUUUACUGGGCGUAAAGGGCGCGUAGGCGGCAGAUCAAGUCAGCUGUGAAAUCUCCGAGCUUAACUCGGAACUGUCAGCUGAUACUGUUUUGCUAGAGUGCGGAAGGGGCAAUCGGAAUUCUUGGUGUAGCGGUGAAAUGCGCAGAUAUCAGGAAGAACACCCGUGGCGAAAGCGGCUCUCUGGAACGGUACUGACGCUGAGACGCGAAAGCGUGGGGAGCGAACAGG